rnacentral:rRNA from 1 species
AUACGUAGGGAGCGAGCGUUGUCCGGAAUUACUGGGCGUAAAGGGCGCGUAGGCGGCGCUUCAAGUCGUCUGUCAAAUGGAAGGGCUUAACCCUUUUUCGCAGACGAAACUGGAGAGCUUGAGAAGCAGAGAGGCAAACAGACUUCCUGGUGUAGCGGGGAAAUGCGUAGAUAUCCGGAAGAAUACCAGUGGCGAAGGCGGUUUGCUGGCUGCAUACUGACGCUGAAGCGCGAAAGCCAGGGGAGCGAACGGGAUUAGAUACCCCGGUAGUCCUGGCAGUAAACGAUGUAUGCUGGGUGUGAGACUAGCGAUAGUUUCGUGCCGAAGUUAACGCGAUAAGCAUACCGCCUGGGGAGUACGGUCGCAAGAUUGAAACUCAAAUGAAUUGACGGGG